GUCUAUGGCCAUACAACCCUGAACAAGCCUGAUACCGUCUGAUCUCAGAAGCUAAGCAGCGUCGGGCCUGGUUAGUCCUUGGAUGGGAGACCACCUAGGAAGAUCAGGUGCAAUAAAUA
rnacentral:rRNA from 1 species